rnacentral:tRNA from 1 species
ACCUGGGUGGCUCAGUCGGUUGAGCACCCGACUUCAGCUCAGGUCGUAAUCUCAUGGUUCGUGGGUUCGAGCCCCACGUCAGGCU